GGAGUUUUUAAGCAUCUUGUGGCAUUUUUUUAAAAGGAAUAAAAUAGUUAUUUUUUUUAAAUGAUGGCAGACAGGGGUAAAAGUUAGAACAGUGAAAGUAAGAUGUUCUGUAGAUGGUAAAAUGACUGUACUAGUAGAAGUUAUCUGUAACGGUGGCAAUGGCCUUGGUCUUGUACACCUACAGAAGUUUGUCACCAAAUUCCUAACAAGUCUCAUGGAAUGUUUGGAUUAAAUUUUCCAUCACAUCCAGGCUGAGAAUAAUGAAAAUACAGCAGCAUUCAUUAAAUUUUGGAUUAUAAAGAAAUAAUAGUUUGACCUUGUUUAUGGCAACUUCUUCCAUUCCGAUUACUCUGCUGUUGCUAUUAGGUAUGCAGCAUCUCCAGUGAAGAGAAUUUUUGUUAGCUUCACUUAGACUUGACGACAAAGCAAUCAGGAACACAACAUAAUUGUUCUCACAUCAAAAACUAUCUGUUUUGGGAUCCUGAUAGGGGUUUCCUCAGGUCCAGGCCUCAUGCCCAGAGCAUUUACAGAGUUAUUGGCCUCACCGGCAAGAAAUGGCUACUAUGAACUAUGUAGACUGCUUAGGUACCUAGUUUCUAGGACUGACUGACUACUGAAUUCUGAGCCUCACAGGUGUGAGGCAACUGUUGUUAUUAUUUCAACAUAAGCAGACUUAAGAAAGUCUAUCAUCUGUCCAUUUAUCUGUCUGUCUAUCAGUGGCCAUCCUGGCACCACAAGGAUUCCCUGGGAAGGUAGCAGUGCAUUGGCAGUUGCAAUUGCUGGGCCUAAAGCUGCUUACUAUUUGUUAAUUUUGUCUUCCUUUAACUCUUUGCUGUUCUAAGAUCAAACGCCUCUGGCUUCUGGUACCAAGCUCCUGCUGUUGGCAUUCAGAAGAAAAGGCUUAGCUACAGGUUUCUUUUCUUUCUGGUUCAAGGUCCCCUGACUGGACAGACAAAGGGCUCAGAGUUUCUUAACUCUUUGUGAACCAGAGAGAAAAG
rnacentral:lncRNA from 1 species